GAUAGAUUUCCCUCUAGGUUCAGAGUAGUUGGUGGUCUCAGUUGGGAUAGAUUUCCCUCUAGAUUCAGAGUAGUUGGUGGUCUCAGUUGGGAUAGAUUUCCCUCUAGGUUUAGAGUAGUUGGUGGUCUCAGUUGGGAUAGAUUUCCCUCUAGGUCCAGAGUAGUUGGUGGUCUCAGUUGGGAUAGAUUUCCCUCUAGGUCCAGAGUAGUUGGUGGUCUCAGUUGGGAUAGAUUUCCCUCUAGGUCCAGAGUAGUUGGUGGUCUCAGUUGGGAUAGAUUUCCCUCUAGGUUUAGAGUAGUUGGUGGUCUCAUUUGUUCCAUGUUUCAUAAUGUUGAGCUGUCCUUGUAUAACCUUAACAUAUGACACCAUGUAAUAUAAUAGCCUGCUGAGGCAGGAAUGCGG
ensembl:lncRNA